GGGUGUGAGGGCCAUCUGCCUACAACAUAUGUCACUCCAGUGGUGCCUAGAGUUGACUAAGGUGAUGUGGCAGGCUUGGCAGGUGGACUGUCCCACCCUCGCCAUUCCAUGUGCACCCCUCCUAAAGCUGCAUCUCAUUCUAAGAGAGUGACUCACCUUCCUUGGCAGAGCACGGUCAUUUUCUGGUCAGAGGUACACAGGCGCUAUGCCCCCAGCCAGAACCUCCAAAUAAGCUCUCAGACACAGCAGAUCCAACAUUGUAAUGAGGAUCUCUCUUCAUAAAACAUUAGUGUUUGUUGUUUUGUUAUUCUGA
rnacentral:snRNA from 1 species